GGCCUAUAGAUUAGGUGCUAUUAUCUUCAUUUAGACACAGGAAGAAGAUCCUGUAGCUUUGAAGAGUGGAGCUGGAAUUGAAAUCCAGACAGACUGAUUUUAAGAUAUCUCUUAAUUACAAUUCCACAUUACCACAUAGUUGGCAUUUAGUAAGUAUUUGUUUGAUGAAAGAUAUUUUCCAAAUAGCUAUGGCCAGACACUAUACAUGAUAUGGGAGACCAAGAAGCAAGAAAACAGAGUCCAACCCUUACUAGGGUGAAGAGACUGUUUUGUCACGGGCCAGAAGUCACUGGGAGCAGACAACUGCAGCUCAAAGUGGUUAAACAAAGAAGAGGAGGAAAAAAGAGGAGAGAAAAAGCUUUGCCGCUGAGUUUUUUUCGUCAGGGAGGAAGAAAAAGAUUUUGUAUUUCAUAACAGAGAGCAUUAAAAUGAUGUAGCCCCACACAAUGAAAACCUUGUGUUUUAUUAAAGUGAAAAGGCUUGCUCAAGGCCUCCAUUACUCAUUUCCGGAUGGAAUGGCAAAACUUCAAGUUUGAAAAGACUCAAGUAGCUACAAUCAAGCUUUCCC
rnacentral:lncRNA from 13 species